AGCUUGCUGUUUCGCUGACGAGUGGCGGACGGGUGAGUAAUGUCUGGGAAACUGCCUGAUGGAGGGGGAUAACUACUGGAAACGGUAGCUAAUACCGCAUAACGUCGCAAGACCAAAGAGGGGGACCUUCGGGCCUCUUGCCAUCGGAUGUGCCCAGAUGGGAUUAGCUAGUAGGUGGGGUAACGGCUCACCUAGGCGACGA
rnacentral:rRNA from 1 species